GACGAACGCUGGCGGCGUGCUUAACACAUGCAAGUCGAACGGAAAGGCCCCUUUGGGGGUACUCGAGUGGCGAACGGGUGCGUAACACGUGAGUAACCUGCCCUUGACUUCGGGAUAACUUCAGGAAACUGGGGCUAAUACCGGAUAGGAAUCCUUGCUGCAUGGUGGGGGUUGGAAAGCUUCGGCGGUUUUGGAUGGACUCGCGGGUUAUCAGCUUGUUGGUGGGGUAGUGGCUUACCAAGGCUUUGACGGGUAGCCGGCCUGAGAGGGCGACCGGCCACAUUGGGACUGAGAUACGGCCCAGACUCCGACGGGAGGCAGCAGUGGGGAAUAUUGCACAAUGGGCGGAAGCCUGAUGCAGCAACGCCGCGUGCGGGAUGACGGCCUUCGGGUUGUAAACCGCUUUCAGCAGGGGCGAAGCUUGUGGUGACGGUACCUGAAGAAGAAGCACCGGCUAACUACGUG
rnacentral:rRNA from 1 species